rnacentral:rRNA from 1 species
UACGUAGGGUGCGAGCGUUAAUCGGAAUUACUGGGCGUAAAGCGUGCGCAGGCGGUUUUGUAAGACAGGUGUGAAAUCCCCGGGCUUAACCUGGGAACUGCGCUUGUGACUGCAAGACUCGAGUGCGGCAGAGGGGGGUGGAAUUCCACGUGUAGCAGUGAAAUGCGUAGAGAUGUGGAGGAACACCGAUGGCGAAGGCAGCCCCCUGGGUCGACACUGACGCUCAUGCACGAAAGCGUGGGGAGCAAACAGG